rnacentral:rRNA from 1 species
GGGAAGUAAAAAAUCGUAACAAGGUUUCCGUAGGUGAACCUGCGGAAGGAUCAUUACCUAGAGUUGUAGGCUUUGCCUACCAUCUCUUACCCAUGUCUUUUGAGUACUUACGUUUCCUCGGUGGGUUCGCCCGCCGAUUGGACAAUUUAAACCAUUUGCAGUUGCAAUCAGCGUCUGAAAAACAUAAUAGUUACAACUUUCAACAACGGAUCUCUUGGUUCUGGCAUCGAUGAAGAACGCAGCGAAAUGCGAUAAGUAGUGUGAAUUGCAGAAUUCAGUGAAUCAUCGAAUCUUUGAACGCACAUUGCGCCCCUUGGUAUUCCAUGGGGCAUGCCUGUUCGAGCGUCAUUUGUACCUUCAAGCUUUGCUUGGUGUUGGGUGUUUGUCUCGCCUUUGCGUGUAGACUCGCCUUAAAACAAUUGGCAGCCGGCGUAUUGAUUUCGGAGCGCAGUACAUCUCGCGCUUUGCACUCAUAACGACGACGUCCAAAAGUACAUUUUUACACUCUUGACCUCGGAUCAGGUAGGGAUACCCGCUGAACUUAAGCAUAUCAAAAGGCCGGAGGA